rnacentral:lncRNA from 1 species
UCGUCUCCAACAGUGAAAUCCUCGUACCCCAGCUGCUGCCUCGAUUGCCGUUCGUCGUCAUUGCCGUCGUCGUUGCCAUCGCCGUCGAUCAUCUUGGCUGAUCUUGCCUCGUCCAAAGGUUAGCUUCCGUCUUCUCCGCCCCUCUCUUUUUCAUCUUCUCUCUCUUUCUCCGGCUUUGGGGCCGAUGCUGUUCCUCUCUCCCUUUCUUUGUUCCUCUCUCCCCUCUCUUUCGCCUCCCUUCCCAUCUUUAUCUUUUCCGACUCUUCUCGUGAGAUGGCGAGAUCUCCUUCCCUUUUUCUUCGAGCACCGAGGCCUCCUCCAACGGCCGACGAGCCCCUCUCUCUUCUUUUCCUUCUCUCUCGCUCUCCCUCACUUUCUUUCUGCCUUCUCUCUCUCUCCCUCCCUCCCUCUCCUCCCCGCUCUUCCCCCAUCGUCUCCCCUCCUUCUGACGGAUGGCCAACUCCGAGGCCUUCUUUCUCUUCUUCGACUGAUGGUGGGGUAUCCCGGCUCUUCCUGCUACAAAAGGGGAUCCCACCUACGUCUAGUGUAAUUAUGGCAAGAUUUAAAGAACCACAACCCUAUCAUCAUCCUGGCAUUCCACAGUCCGAGGUUCCUUAUGUGCACCAUCCAGAACCCACUACUUAUAGUAGGUAACGAUGGUUUCUCUUAGUCAUUUUUUUUCUUUAGUGGUUGGUAGACAGAUCUAAAGGAUUUUGCAUUCCAGGCUUAUGAAGGCGUGUGAUUUGCUCAAAAAGAGUCAGGGUGAAUAUUGGGAAAACUAGAUAUAUUUAUAUCAUGGUUGUAUUCAUUACAAUACUUGGUGCAUUUUACAAGUAAAUCCCUUGUUUUGGCAUUUCCCUUGCAGAGGUAUUGAACUAGAGAUGCAUUAGCAUCUUGGUACAAUAGAAAUUUUCCAGCAAACUUGCGACCUGCUGUUUUGAUGGUGUUAGCAGCCAUCUAUUGGAGCUAACAGAUUGUUAUUCAUUCCUACCUCGGUAAUUGUUUUGAUGGUGUUAACAGAUUGUGACCUGCUGUUUUGAUGAUUGCUUAUGUACUGGAAACUUCAUCUGCUUUCGUGGAUCAAUUAUCUGUUUCAGAGGUUUUAUUACUAGGUUCUCUGUAUUUUUUUUUUUAAAUUAGGAAAAAAAAUUUACAUUGUUUCAUGAGUGGUUUAUUGGGGUUUAUAGAAUGUGUGCCCUGUUGAAAUGAUCUGCUAAGUAAGAAUUUUUCUUCUGUAGAAUUUGAUUAGAAAGAGGGCUUGAUUUUAUUUCUCUUGUGUUAUCCACUAAUCGUUGACAUGGGAUUUGUGUACCUCUUGCUUAAAUUAUGGAAUCAUGAAUAUAAUGAUGUUAGGGCUGGGAGUUCUGGCAUGGUCUGGCUCUUGAAGGUGGCAAACUCUAUUUCUGAGCAAGAACAGACAAAAAAUUGCCUUAUUUUAUUUUAUCUGAAAUGAAAAGAAAUGAGACUGAGGCAUGUUCAGAUUCUUAAGCAAUUAGGUUGGCUGUUAUGCAAUUUUUAUGGUGAAAUGUGAGACUGGUGCUUUUCAAUUUUGCAGGUUUACACAUCACUCGCAGAGAUGAUCUUCCAUCAGGUUGUUUUUAGGUUUAAAGUUAAGCCGAUUGGAACUUAAGGUUUUUCUUGGAUCAUAGAGGAAAUGUAUAUCUAAAGAAAUAUAUCACUAAAGAACUUCUCCUUAGAUGACACUCUGUGCUCUUGUUCUGGUUGUGGUGCCUCUAAAUGGUUAUCAGUUGCACUGGAUAGUCUUAGAGAAGGGCUAGACCCUUGGAACAUCUCAAGUAUUUUAUUUAUCUUGUAUAAUUUUGUUGGAGAAGGCAAUAGAAAUAUCGAGACAUUUGGGAUUUUAUGAUUGCUUGUGUUAAUCACAUUAUGUUGUUAGUCCAACCUUUUUUUGCCUGAAUAGGAUAUAUAAGUUUCUUGGAAGAGAUUAUUUUACUUGCAUCAAGUAAAACUUAUAUCACAAAAAAAAAAAAGUUUGGUUUCAAGCAAGGGAAGUAGUUAGGCACGAGGGAGCAUGAGGAAAAUGUACAAUCUUACUAGAAUUUUUUUCCUAGAGAGAUUUUGGGGGGCCAGAGCCUAGGGAUUUGGAUUUUAUAGCAUCUGAUACUAAGGAGAGAUAAGAGAUUAAGAAUAUUCUUUUUAAGGAUAUGGAACUGAUGGUUAAAAUGGCAUGGAAAAAAGUCCAAGCUCCGAAGUUUACAUCAGCUUCCUUUGCUUUUUGUCUUCAACAUUAUUAUACUUAGCACAUGUACCAAGAUCAGUCAAAUGGUUUCCUAAACAGAAGGCUACAUAGCACAAAGGACAUCACUUGUUGUUCUUGUUCCUAAGAAAGAGGAGGCUAUGCAUAAGGAGCAUAAGCCACUUAACCCUCUUAUUGAAAAAUCAUGAUCUUAUUGCAUUAAGUGGUUUUCUUGAAAGCACCAUAGGUAUCAUGCAUGAUGGGGUCACAAGCAUCCAUUGAAUUAUGUGCUAAGUUAAUUCGAUACUUAGAUACUCCGUAAACAAUAAAAGAUGGUAAAUCAUGUGAUUGUAAAGGCCUAGCAGAUACUUAGAUACUCUGUAAUUCUCCAACUCUACUAGGUUGAAGAGUCACACUUAGGCCUCUAAAAAGGUUGGUUUGAGGUCAUGUCUGGCUGGGCCUGAACUUGAUGCAAAAUUUUGAACACUAAACUAACCCAAGCUAGGAACCCAACUGGUUGGCCAAACCAUGCCUCAAAUGUGAACCAGCUUACAGUUGGACCCCCUACUUAAUUAUCCAACUUGGCUAUAAUUUUCUCUUUGCUUAUUUUCCCAUCUUGUCAAGGGAUUUGGUGGGUAGAGGCAUGCAGGAGGCCAGAAGCAUAAUAGUAAAUCAUGAGCCAGUGGUCGGUGAGGGUCCGAGAUGGUGGUAACAAAUCAAUUUUGAUUGUGUAAUAUGCAAUGCAUGUGAGUGAUUUUUUUUGUUGAUGUAGACUAAGCUUUUUGAAGUCAUAACUGAAGUUAAUGACCCAUCCCAUUAUUGACCAACUAUAUUAUUUAAAUUGCCCUUAAUUAGCUUAUAUUAAGUUCCUUCUAAUUUUUUCUUUUACUGUUAUAUGCUGGAUUUUUUUUAAUUACUGUAUUUCUUUUCAUUUACUGUUAUUGAAUUGCCACUAAUCUAAAAGAUGUUGUAUUUAACACAUUGUUGUAGAUAUUAUGGGAAAAUCAAGAAAACGUAUCAUGGAGCCUUUCCAAAGGAGGAAAAAAGCAAACUUUUGGCAUUCGUGACCGUAAAA